rnacentral:rRNA from 1 species
CAGGGGGGGCAAGCGUUGUUCGGAAUUACUGGGCGUAAAGGGCUCGUAGGCGGCCAACUAAGUCACACGUGAAAUCCCCAGGCUUAACCUGGGAACUGCGUGUGAUACUGGAUGGCUUGAAUUCGGGAGAGGGAUGCAGAAUUCCAGGUGUAGCGGUGAAAUGCGUAGAUAUCUGGAGGAAUACUGGUGGCGAAGGCGGCAUCCUGGACCGACAUUGACGCUGAGGAGCGAAAGCUAGGGGAGCAAACGGGAUUAGAUACCCCGGUAGUCCUAGCCCUAAACGAUGAAUGCUUGGUGUGGCGGGUAUCGAUCCCUGCCGUGCCGAAGCUAACGCAUUAAGCAUUCCGCCUGGGGAGUACGGUCGCAAGGCUG